rnacentral:rRNA from 1 species
UGAUCCUGCCAGUAGUCAUAUGCUUGUCUCAAAGAUUAAGCCAUGCAUGUCUAAGUAUAAGCAAUUAUACAGCGAAACUGCGAAUGGCUCAUUAUAUAAGUUAUCGUUUAUUUGAUAGUGCCUUACUACUUGGAUAACCGUGGUAAUUCUAGAGCUAAUACAUGCUAGUCGAACGUCUCUAGGCUAUGGUGGAGACGUGGCGAACGGCUCAGUAACACGUGGCUAACCUACCCUUAGGACGGAGACAACCCCGGGAAACUGGGGCUAAUAACCGAUAGGUGAGGGCGCCUGGAAUGACCCCUCGCCCAAAAGGUGUCUAGACCAUGCUUCCUGACAUUGCCUAAGGAUGGGGCCGCGGCCGAUCAGGCUGUUGGCGAGGCAAAGGCUCACCAAACCGUAUAACCGGUACGGGCCAUGAAAGUGGUAGCCCGGAGAUGGGCACUGAGACAA